rnacentral:rRNA from 1 species
GUCUACGGCCAUGCCACCUUGAACGCGCUCGAUCUCUUCUGAUCUCGGAAGCUAAGCAGUGUCGGGCGUGGUUAGUACUUGGAUGGGAGACCACCCAGGAAUACCAGGUGCUGUAGGCG